rnacentral:rRNA from 1 species
UAGAGCUCCCAUGGCGCCUGUUUAUCAAAAACAUGUUUUUUUGAUAUUGAUAAAAAAUUUAGUCUGCUCAAUGCUGGAUGUAAAUAGCCGCAGUAUUUUGACUGUGCUAAGGUAGCAUAAUCAUUUGCCUCUUGAUUAGAGGCUGGUAUGAAUGACUGGACGUAAUAAGGUCUGUCUCUAGAAGUUAAUUUGAAUUUUAUUAAAUGGUAAGAAGGCCAUUGUUUUCCUAAGGGACGAUAAGACCCUAUUAAGCUUUAUUUUAGAAUUUUACUGGGGCGGUAGCUUAAGAUUUGAAUCUUAAGUUGAAGAGUUAAAUUAUAGGACCCAAUAUUAUUGAGUGAUAGACGAAGUUACUAUAGGGAUAACAGCUUAAUUUUUUUAAAAAGUACUUAUUUUAAAAAAAGUUUGAGACCUCGAUGUUGAAUUAAUGAACCUGUCUAGUGAAGGAGCUAGAAGAGGAAGUCUGUUCGACUUUUAAAUCAUUACGUGAUCUGAGUUCAGACCGGCCAUGGAAACCU